rnacentral:tRNA from 32 species
CGCGGGGUGGAGCAGUUCGGUAGCUCGCUGGGCUCAUAACCCAGAGGUCGCAGGUUCAAAUCCUGUCCCCGCAACCA